rnacentral:rRNA from 1 species
AACGAACGCUGGCGGCGUGCCUAACACAUGCAAGUCGAACGGGGAUAGGGAGCUUGCUUCCUAUUCUAGUGGCGCACGGGUGAGUAACGCGUAGAUAAUCUGCCUGACGAUCCGGGAUAACAUCUCGAAAGGGGUGCUAAUACCGGAUAAGCCCACGGGGUCUUUGGAUCUUGCGGGAAAAGGGGGGGACCUUUUGGCCUUCUGUCGUCAGAUGAGUCUGCGUACCAUUAGCUAGUUGGUAGGGUAAAAGCCUACCAAGGCUACGAUGGUUAGCUGGUUUGGAAGAAUGAGCAGCCACACUGGAAAUGAGACACGGUCCAGACUCCGACGGGAGGCAGCAGUGGGGAAUUUUGCGCAAUGGGCGAAAGCCUGACGCAGCAACGCCGCGUGAGUGAUGAAGGCUUUCGGGUCGUAAAGCUCUGUCGAGGGGAAAGAAGUGUAUUGUGGCUAAUAUCCGCGAUACUUGACGGUACCCCUAAAGGAAGCACCGGCUAACUCCGUGCCAGCAGCCGCCGUAA